AUUGAACGCUGGCGGCAUGCCUUACACAUGCAAGUCGAACGGCAGCACGGGAGCAAUCCUGGUGGCGAGUGGCGAACGGGUGAGUAAAGUAUCGGAACGUGCCCAGUCGUGGGGGAUAACGUAGCGAAAGUUACGCUAAUACCGCAUACGAGCUAUGGAUGAAAGCGGGGGAUCGCAAGACCUCGCGCGAUUGGAGCGGCCGAUAUCCAAUUAGGGAGUUGGUGGGGUAAAGGCUCACCAAGCCGACGAUCUGUAGCUGGUCUGAGAGGACGACCAGCCACACUGGGACUGAGACACGGCCCAGACUCCUACGGGAGGCAGCAGUGGGGAAUUUUGGACAAUGGGCGCAAGCCUGAUCCAGCCAUGCCGCGUGCAGGAUGAAGGCCUUCGGGUUGUAAACUGCUUUUGUACGGAACGAAAAGGUUUGGCUUAAUACGUUGAACUCAUGACGGUACCGUAAGAAUAAGCACCGGCUAACUACGUGCCAGCCGCCGCAGUAA
rnacentral:rRNA from 1 species